ACAUAUCAAUAAGCUGAGGAAAAGAAACCAACAGGGAUUGCCCUAGUAACGGCGAGUGAAGCGGCAACAGCUCAAAUUUGAAAUCUGGCUUUCGGGUCCGAGUUGUAAUUUGUAGAGGAUGCUUUUGGCGCGGUGCCUUCCGAGUUCCCUGGAACGGGACGCCUUAGAGGGUGAGAGCCCCGUACGGUUGGACACCAAGCCUCUGUAAAGCUCCUUCGACGAGUCGAGUAGUUUGGGAAUGCUGCUCUAAAUGGGAGGUAAAUUUCUUCUAAAGCUAAAUAUUGGCCAGAGACCGAUAGCGCACAAGUAGAGUGAUCGAAAGAUGAAAAGCACUUUGAAAAGAGGGUUAAAUAGCACGUGAAAUUGUUGAAAGGGAAGCGUUUGCGACCAGACCUUUUCUUAGCAGAUCAUCCGGUGUUCUCACCGGUGCACUUUGCUAGGUUUAGGCCAGCAUCGGUUUUCGUAGGGGGAUAAAAGCUUGGGGAAUGUAGCUCCCUCGGGAGUGUUAUAGCCCCUCGCAUAAUACCCUUACGGGGACCGAGGACCGCGCUUUAUGCAAGGAUGCUGGCAUAAUGGUUGUCAACGACCCGUCUUGAAACACGGACCAAGGAGUCGAACAUUUGUGCGAGUGUUAGGGUGUUAAACCCUCACGCGUAAUGAAAGUGAACGGAGGUGAGAGCCCUUACGGGUGCAUCAUCGACCGAUCCUGAUGUCUUCGGAUGGAUUUGAGUAAGAGCAUAACUGUUCGGACCCGAAAGAUGGUGAACUAUGCGUGGAUAGGGUGAAGCCAGAGGAAACUCUGGUGGAGGCUCGCAGCGGUUCUGACGUGCAAAUCGAUCGUCAAAUCUGCGCAUGGGGGCGAAAGACUUAUCGAACCAUCUAGUAGCUGGUUACCGCCGA
rnacentral:rRNA from 1 species